GUGCCGCUUUUAAGGUUAACACAGUGCUUUAAGCAGAAGGGUAAAGUAAGUCUCCAUAAAACCCAGAGAAGAGAAUGUGAAGUUCCUCUUUGGAGGAGCUGGACUCCUGUCUGGAGUCACAGCU
ensembl:snoRNA